UACGGAGGGUGCGAGCGUUAUCCGGAAUCAUUGGGCGUAAAGGGCGCGUAGGUGGCCCGGUCAGCGUGCGGUGAAAGCUCGGGGCUCAACCCCGAGUCGGCCGUGCGAACUGCUGGGCUGGAGCACUGUAGAGGCAGGCGGAAUUCCGGGUGUAGCGGUGGAAUGCGUAGAGAUCCGGAAGAACACCGGUGGCGAAGGCGGCCUGCUGGGCAGUGGCUGACACUGAGGCGCGACAGCGUGGGGAGCAAACAGG
rnacentral:rRNA from 1 species